rnacentral:lncRNA from 1 species
AUUCCGAAUCAUUGGACUUUGAAUUUGAUUCAAUAAAGGCCACCGAAUGGGUUUGAGCACUUGGCUCUCCAAUUCCAGCCAUCGGUGCCUUGGGUGAGGUGAACGCAUUUAGUGGAAUCACACCACCGACCACACAUUCCAAAAGCCAACUCCUACAAUCACAAAAAAAUUGCAGCACGGAGUUUUCAUAUUGGCUAAGGAGUUACCUUUCUCUGACUAGAGUUAAUAUCUAAGUAAUUGAACAUAAAUUGCAAUCUGCGACCAGGUGCUAGUUCCCUGAGAUGAUAUGUUGACAUGUUGUUUGUGUACUCAGUUAUAAUGAAUGCGUAGGUCCUAGAAUAUAUUACCCACUCUGAGACAAAACAUUCAGAGUUCCAGGUUGCAAUCUGAGUUUAGAAAAACUGUUCAAUUGCGAAACAAAGUGAGACUUCCAUCUUGCAGCAUAGGAAUAUACCGGAUUUGAAUGGAAAUAAUGAAAAUUAACAAGCGGGAGAAAAGGAGGAGGUGGUAGUAGGCGGAAAAUGAUGAGCGAUGUGUGUGGUUGGUUCUUCACUCGUGGUCGAAUGUUUAAUGGUUGUGGGGGAAGCUGGAUGAAGAGAUGCGAUGUUCUUAAGGAUGGAGAUGAGCUUGAUUAUAUAUUGCACACACUCACUCACUCACUCACUCAGGGAAUGAAUCCUGGCAACGGAAGAAGUAGGUUGAAGCUACCGUCAUCAUGGGAGCAUCAAACCGCACCACACAACUUCCUUCAAUCCUUCAUUCCUUCCUUCCUUGCCACCCUUGGUGGACCCUUUUCAUGAAAAUAAUAAUGAAACAAAAAUAUCUCUUGCAUUGAUGUAAAGGUUCAAAAUAUACUUUACAAAGAUGUUAUAACCUUAAAAUAUUAAAUAAAUGAUUGUUUCUGUUG